ACUAAAUACACCAGGAAAUGAGGACUAACAAGAGACAGCUGACACAACAGGUGAAGCACGUAAGGGCAGGGCAGAACAAUCAGAAAAGGCGGGAAACAAACAACGACAGGAAAACAACUAGACAACACAAGGG